rnacentral:rRNA from 1 species
UGGGUAACCCACCCCGAUGACCGGGACAACCCGAGGAAACUCGGGCUAAUACCGGAUGAGCUCUUCGCCCUUGAGGGAGAAGAGGAAAGAUAGCUUCGGCCUUCGCAUCGGGACGGCCCGCGGCGCAUUAGCUUGUUGGUGGGUAACGCCUACCAAGGCGACGAUGCGUAGCUGGUCUGAGAGGACGAUCAGCCACACUGGGACUGAGACACGGCCCAGACUCCUACGGGAGCAG